CUCCCGGCCGUAGAACUGUUUUUAAUUGAAAUUGCGUAACUGAGUGUGAAGCUGACAACAUGAGGAACCUCUUGAUGGUACUCUGUUUGCUGGUUCUGUGUGCUGCAAUUCUUCAACCUGCAGAGGGACAGGAAUUUAGAUUAAUCAGAAGGAGAUCUAACUUUCAACUAUCCUGUCUACAAAGUUACUGGCGAUGUAUCGACGGCUUUGUUCGGCAAAGAUUCUGUCUAGGCUUUUACAACAUGUGUAUGAACAACAAUGGAAUCACAAUUCUGUCUGGCUAAAAGACGGGGAAUCGUACAGUCGUCACUCACAUAUUCACAACACAGUCUGUGUGCGGAUAGGGAAGUCUGUACCAUCACGAUUAUGUGAUUUCUGAAUAUUAAUAAAAAUCAUA